rnacentral:rRNA from 1 species
AGAGUUUGAUCAUGGCUCAGGACGAACGCUGACGGUGUGCUUUAGGCAUGCAAGUCGAACGAGAAAACCCUUCGGGGUGAGUAAAGUGGCGAACGGGUGAGUAGCACGUGGGCAACCUGCCCCUCGCAGGGGGACAACCGGAGGAAACUCCGGCUAAUACCCCGUAAGCUCUACACGCCGCAUGGCGAGUAGAGGAAAGGUAGCUUCGGCCAUCCGGCGAGGGAUGGGCCCGCGGUGCAUUAGCUAGUUGGUGGGGUAACGGCCUACCAAGGCGACGAUGCGUAGCUGGUCUGAGAGGAUGAUCAGCCACACUGGGACUGAGACACGGCCCAGACUCCUACGGGAGGCAGCAGUCGGGAAUCUUGCGCAAUGGGCGAAAGCCUGACGCAGCAACACCGUGUGAGCGAUGAAGGCCUUCGGGUCGUAAAGCUCUGUUGUUGGGGACGAAGGGUUAGGGGUUAAUAGCCCCGAGCCUGACGGUACCCUUCGAGGAAGCCCCGGCUAACUACGUGCCAGCAGCCGCGGUAAUACGUAGGGGGCGAGCGUUGUCCGGAUUUAUUGGGCGUAAAGAGCUCGUAGGCGGCUCGUCGCGUCGACCGUGAAGACCCACAGCUUAACUGUGGGCUUGCGGUUGAUACGGGCGGGCUAGAGUUCGGUAGGGGAGACUGGAAUUCCUGGUGUAGCGGUGAAAUGCGCAGAUAUCAGGAGGAACACCGGUGGCGAAGGCGGGUCUCUGGGCCGAUACUGACGCUGAGGAGCGAAAGCGUGGGGAGCGAACAGGAUUAGAUACCCCUGUAGUCC